rnacentral:rRNA from 1 species
UACGGAGGAUGCGAGCGUUAUCCGGAUUUAUUGGGUUUAAAGGGUGCGCAGGCGGAUUUUUAAGUCAGCGGUCAAAUCAUGGGGCUCAACCCCAUCCAGCCGUUGAAACUGGGGAUCUAGAGUGUGCGAGAGGUAUGCGGAAUGCGUGGUGUAGCGGUGAAAUGCAUAGAUAUCACGCAGAACCCCGAUUGCGAAGGCAGCAUACCGGUGCACAACUGACGCUCAGGCACGAAAGCGUGGGUAUCGAACAGG